UUCGGAAUGAAACCAGAUAUGACUUAGUGGCGGACGGGUGAGUAACACGUGAGGAACCUGCCUUUCAGUGGGGGACAACAGUUGGAAACGACUGCUAAUACCGCAUGAAGCUUUUGGGAGACAUCUCCUGGAAGCCAAAGCUUAAUGUGCUGAAAGAUGGCCUCGCGUCUGAUUAGCUAGUUGGUGAGGUAACGGCCCACCAAGGCGACGAUCAGUAGCCGGACUAAGAGGUUGAACGGCCACAUUGGGACUGAGAUACGGCCCAGACUCC
rnacentral:rRNA from 1 species